rnacentral:tRNA from 1 species
UCCCUGGUGGUCCAGUGUUAGGACUUAGCACUUUCACUGUGGUGGCCUGGGUUCAACCCCUGGUCAGGGAA